CACACACCCUUCUUUGAGCACGCGCGCAGGCACAGUAAGACGAGAUGAAGCAUCGCAAAUGAUGCAGCACACACUCCCCUUUCGCCCUGCACCACGGCCGCCACCAAGACACACGCACGCAUACACGUGCUGCUGGUCCUCUGCUCCCCCUCCCCCUCCGCCCCCACCUCCUCCGCCCUCGCCCAGCAUCAGUGAUUACGCUCCGUAGGGUUUCAUGCCUUGUCUCCUGCGACUUGACUCGGCGCGCGGGCUUCGGCUCACACUUACGUCUGCUUUGUGCUCCAGCUCUGUGUGGGUGUGGGUGUGUCGUUCCUGGCAAUCACUUCAGCACCACCACUUGUUUGCCAGACAGAAAAGUAAUCGAUGGUCCGCGUAGCAAGCCCCUCGUCUCAACUCACUACCGGGCCGAGUAUGGCCUUCCCUAUCCACGCCCACGCAUAUUCGGCCCGCUCCUCUAUUCUGCCACCUUUCUCCGCCCUCCCCUCCUGCUUGGCGUCGCUGCGUGCUUCGCACGCACACACACACACACACGCAUGCACCGCCACUCUCCUUCUCCUUCCCCUCCCCCACCUUCCAG
rnacentral:misc_RNA from 1 species